rnacentral:rRNA from 1 species
CAAUAGCGUAUAUUAAAGUUGUUGCGGUUAAAAAGCUCGUAGUUGGAUUUCUGCCGAGGACGACCGGUCCGCCCUCUGGGUGAGUAUCUGGCUCGGCCUGGGCAUCUUCUUGGAGAACGUAGCUGCACUUGACUGUGUGGUGCGGUAUCCAGGACUUUUACUUUGAGGAAAUUAGAGUGUUUCAAGCAGGCAUACGCCUUGAAUACAUUAGCAUGGAAUAAUAAGAUAGGACCUCGGUUCUAUUUUGUUGGUUCUAGAGCUGAGGUAAUGAUUAAUAGGGAUAGUUGGGGGCGUUUAUAUUCCGUUGUCAGAGGUGAAAUUCUUGGAUUUACGGAAGAUAAACUACUGCGAAAGCAUUCGCCAAGGAUGUUUUUCAUUAAUCAAGAACGAAAGUUAGGGGAUCGAAGAUGAUUAGAU